rnacentral:rRNA from 1 species
AACGAACGCUGGCGGCAGGCUUAACACAUGCAAGUCGAACGCGUGUAGCAAUACACGAGUGGCGCACGGGUGAGUAACGCGUGGAUAUCUGCCUUUUGGUUCGGAAUAACCCCGGGAGACUGGGGCUAAUACCGGAUGGUUCCUUCGGGAUAAAGAUUUAUCGCCAAAAGAUGAGUCCGCGUCCGAUUAGCUAGUUGGUGAGGUAAUGGCUCACCAAGGCGACGAUCGGUAGCUGGUCUGAGAGGACGAUCAGCCGCACUGGGACUGAGACACGGCCCAGACUCCUACGGGAGGCAGCAGUGGGGAAUAUUGGACAAUGGGGGCAACCCUGAUCCAGCCAUGCCGCGUGAGUGAUGAAGGCCUUCGGGCUGUAAAGCUCUUUUGGCGGGGACGAUGACGACGGUACCCGCAGAAUAAGCCCCGGCUAACUUCGUGCCAGCAGCCGCCGUAAAAC